AGGGAUUGCCCUAGUAACGGCGAGUGAAGCGGCAACAGCUCAAAUUUGAAAUCUGGCUUCGGCCCGAGUUGUAAUUUGUAGAGGAAACUUUUGGUGAGGCACCUUCUGAGUCCCUUGGAACAGGGCGCCAUAGAGGGUGAGAGCCCCGUAUAGUCGGAUGCCGAUCCAAUGUAAAGUUCCUUCGACGAGUCGAGUAGUUUGGGAAUGCUGCUCAAAAUGGGAGGUAAAUUUCUUCUAAAGCUAAAUAUAGGCCAGAGACCGAUAGCGCACAAGUAGAGUGAUCGAAAGAUGAAAAGCACUUUGAAAAGAGGGUUAAAUAGCACGUGAAAUUGUUGAAAGGGAAGCGUUUGUGACCAGACUUGCGCCGUUCCGAUCAUCCGGUGUUCUCACCGGUGCACUCGGGGCGGCUCAGGCCAGCAUCGGUUUUGGUGGGGGGAUAAAGGUCCAGGGAACGUAGCUCCUCCGGGAGUGUUAUAGCCCUGGGCGUAAUGCCCUCGCUGGGACCGAGGUUCGCGCAUCUGCAAGGAUGCUGGCGUAAUGGUCAUCAACGACCCGUCUUGAAACACGGACCAAGGAGUCAAGGUUUUGCGCGAGUGUUUGGGUGUAAAACCCGCACGCGUAAUGAAAGUGAACGUAGGUGAGAGCUUCGGCGCAUCAUCGACCGAUCCUGAUGUAUUCGGAUGGAUUUGAGUAAGAGCGUUAAGCCUUGGACCCGAAAGAUGGUGAACUAUGCUUGGAUAGGGUGAAGCCAGAGGAAACUCUGGUGGAGGCUCGCAGCGGUUCUGACGUGCAAAUCGAUCGUCAAAUCUGAGCAUGGGGGCGAAAGACUAAUCGAACCA
rnacentral:rRNA from 1 species